CCCGAGCAAGACCAACAAUUGCUGAAUAAACACAAACCCCCUUGAGAAUCACGCCGACAGGUGCUAUCUCUUCACCUGGGGAUUGCAAAGGAAGUGAGAACAUCCCCGAGCAAGACCAAAAAUUGCUGAAUAAACACAAACCCCCUUGAGAAUCACGCCAAGAGGUGCUGCCUCUUCACCUGGGGAUUGCAAAGGUAUUACAGCACUGUACAGUUUACUAAACACAAGUCUUCACAUCAGUCCUCUUCUCUGCAGCCACAUGACUCAAGCAGGCACAGGACCCAUCAGGAACACCAGAGUCCUGAGCAGGAAGAAUGUCUCCUGUCGCAGCCUUGGGGGGAGUCAGGCAUGAUGUGCCCGAUGGUGCAGCAGGACACGAUGAUGUCAGAGCUGCCUGGGACAUAUUGAACUUCCUGAUUUUUUCUUCUUGUGAUGGAAUAAAUGAUUUUGGAUUAAGAUG
rnacentral:lncRNA from 1 species